AAUAAUAGGAUGGAUACGUUUAAUAAUAUCAACCAUAGUCCUGGGAGGUAAGGGUUAAAUUGAACUCUAACAUGUAUCAUGUUACAUUAAACUAACAUGUAUCAUGGUUGCAUUAAACUAAAAUGUAUCAUGGUUACAUUAAAUUAACAUGUAUCAGGGUUAUGCUGAAUGAUAUUGACUGCUGUCCUGACAUGUUACUGUAUUGUUUAUCUCUAUAUAGUAUGGAUUGAUCGACUUCUGGAGAAAGAGGAAAUGACCAAUACAGACAAUAACCAUGAAUUGGCUGAUCAAAUACGUAAGAUGGUAAGUGUUAUUACUGGUUUGAUACAAAACCCCAUAAUAUGUGUGACCCUAGCUGGCAGUGAUGGAGUUAUGAGAUGAUGAUCUUAACGGACCCAAUGUUGAUAUUUUGUUUACAUUUUUAU